rnacentral:tRNA from 1 species
UGGGGCGUCGCCAAGCGGUAAGGCAACGGAUUCUGAUUCCGUCAUUCGCAGGUUCAAAUCCUGCCGCCCUAGCCA